rnacentral:snoRNA from 1 species
UAAGUCUAUACUGACAGUAAAUGGGCCUCAUCACCUUUCUCGAGCUGAUGAAAGUGCUCCAGAAAGUGAAAUGGUGGUUCUACACUC